rnacentral:misc_RNA from 1 species
UAUUAUGGUGACCUGGUUAUGG